GAUGAACGCUGGCGGCGUGGCUAAUACAUGCAAGUCGAGCGAACGGACGAGAAGCUUGCUUCUCUGAUGUUAGCGGCGGACGGGUGAGUAACACGUGGAUAACCUACCUAUAAGACUGUGAUAACUUCGGGAAACCGGAGCUAAUACCGGAUGAUAUUUUGAACCGCAUGGUUCAAAAGUGAAAGACGGUCUUGCUGUCACUUAUAGAUGGAUCCGCGCUGCAUUAGCUAGUUGGUAAGGUAACGGCUUACCAAGGCAACGAUGCAUAGCCGACCUGAGAGGGUGAUCGGCCACACUGGAACUGAGACACGGUCCAGACUCCUACGGGAGGCAGCAGUAGGGAAUCUUCCGCAAUGGGCGAAAGCCUGACGGAGCAACGCCGCGUGAGUGAUGAAGGUCUUCGGAUCGUAAAACUCUGUUAUUAGGGAAGAACAUAUGUGUAAGUAACUGUGCACAUCUUGACGGUACCUAAUCAGAAAGCCACGGCUAACUACGUG
rnacentral:rRNA from 1 species